UACGGGGGGAGCAAACGUUGUUCGGAAUCACUGGGCGUAAAGGGCGUGUAGGCGGCUGGAUAAGUGGGAUGUUAAAUCCCCCGGCUCAACCGGGGACCUGCAUCUCAUACUGUUCAGCUCGAGCACAUCAGAGGAGACUGGAAUUCCCGGUGUAGCGGUGAAAUGCGUAGAUAUCUGGAGGAACACCGGUGGCGAAGGCGGCAUCCUGGACCGGUAUUGACGCUGAGGCGCGAAAGCCAGGGGAGCAAACAGG
rnacentral:rRNA from 1 species